rnacentral:rRNA from 1 species
GAGUGGCGAACUGGUGAGUAACACGUGGGUAACCUGCCCUUGAAGUAGAGGAUAACACUUGGAAACAGGUGCUAAUACUGCAUAACAACGAAAACCGCCUGGUUUUCGUUUGAAAGAUGGCUUCGGCUAUCGCUUUAGGAUGGACCCGCGGCGUAUUAGCUAGUUGGUGAGGUAACGGCUCACCAAGGCAAUGAUACGUAGCCGACCUGAGAGGGUAAUCGGCCACAUUGGGACUGAGACACGGCCCAAACUCCUACGGGAGGCAGCAGUAGGGAAUCUUCCACAAUGGACGAAAGUCUGAUGGAGCAACGCCGCGUGAGUGAUGAAGGGUUUCGGCUCGUAAAACUCUGUUGUUGGAGAAGAACGGGUGUCAGAGUAACUGUUGACAUCGUGACGGUAUCCAACCAGAAAGCCACGGCUAACUACGUGCCAGCAGCCGCGGUAAUACGUAGGUGGCAAGCGUUGUCCGGAUUUAUUGGGCGUAAAGCGAGCGCAGGCGGUUUUUUAGGUCUGAUGUGAAAGCCUUCGGCUUAACCGGAGAAGUGCAUCGGAAACCGGGGACUUGAGUGCAGAAGAGGACAGUGGAACUCCAUGUGUAGCGGUGAAAUGCGUAGAUAUAUGGAAGA